rnacentral:rRNA from 1 species
AUUGAACGCUGGCGGCAGGCCUAACACAUGCAAGUCGAGCGGAUGAAGGGAGCUUGCUCCUGGAUUCAGCGGCGGACGGGUGAGUAAUGCCUAGGAAUCUGCCUGGUAGUGGGGGAUAACGUCCGGAAACGGGCGCUAAUACCGCAUACGUCCUGAGGGAGAAAGUGGGGGAUCUUCGGACCUCACGCUAUCAGAUGAGCCUAGGUCGGAUUAGCUAGUUGGUGGGGUAAAGGCCUACCAAGGCGACGAUCCGUAACUGGUCUGAGAGGAUGAUCAGUCACACUGGAACUGAGACGCGGUCCAGACUCCUACGGGGGGCAGCAGUGGGGAAUAUUGGACAAUGGGCGAAAGCCUGAUCCAGCCAUGCCGCGUGUGUGAAGAAGGUCUUCGGAUUGUAAAGCACUUUAAGUUGGGAGGAAGGGCAGUAAGUUAAUACCUUGCUGUUUUGACGUUACCAACAGAAUAAGCACCGGCUAACUUCGUG